AUUGAACGCUGGCGGCGUGCCUAACACAUGCAAGUCGAGCGAUCUUCUUCGGAAGAGAGCGGCGGACGGGUGAGUAACGCGUGGGUAACCUGCCCUGUACACACGGACAACAUACCGAAAGGUAUGCUAAUACGAGAUAAUAUACUUUUAUCGCAUGGUAGAAGUAUCAAAGCUCCGGCGGUACAGGAUGGACCCGCGUCUGAUUAGCUAGUUGGUAAGGUAACGGCUUACCAAGGCGACGAUCAGUAGCCGACCUGAGAGGGUGAUCGGCCACAUUGGAACUGAGACACGGUCCAAACUCCUACGGGAGGCAGCAGUGGGGAAUAUUGCACAAUGGGCGAAAGCCUGAUGCAGCAACGCCGCGUGAGCGAUGAAGGCCUUCGGGUCGUAAAGCUCUGUCCUCAAGGAAGAUAAUGACGGUACUUGAGGAGGAAGCCCCGGCUAACUACGUGCCAGCCGCCGCCGUAAGAC
rnacentral:rRNA from 1 species